GGACGGUUAGCUCAGCGGGAGAGCACCUGCUUCACGCGCAGGGGGUCGCAGGUUCGAACCCUGCACCGUCCACCA
rnacentral:tRNA from 3 species